UACAGAGGUCUCAAGCGUUGUUCGGAAUUACUGGGCGUAAAGCGCGUGCAGGUGGUUUUUUAAGUUUCGUGUGAAAUCCCAUGGCUUAACCAUGGAACGGCACGGAAAACUGGAAGGCUUGAGUACGGGAGAAGAGGGCGGAAUUCCCAGUGUAGAGGUGAAAUUCGUAGAUAUUGGGAGGAACACCGGUGGCGCAAGCGGCUCUCUAGACCGAUACUGACGCUCAUACGCGAGAGCGUGGGUAGCAAACAGG
rnacentral:rRNA from 1 species